rnacentral:rRNA from 1 species
UACGUAGGUGGCAAGCGUUGUCCGGAUUUACUGGGCGUAAAGAGCGCGCAGGCGGUCGUGCAAGUCGCGUGUGAAAGCCCCCGGCUCAACUGGGGAGGGUCACGCGAUACUGCUCGACUCGAAGGCAGGAGAGGGAAGUGGAAUUCCCGGUGUAGUGGUGAAAUGCGUAGAUAUCGGGAAGAACACCAAAGGCGAAAGCGCUCUGCUGGGCCGAAACUGACACUGAGAGACGAAAGCUAGGGGAGCGAAUGGG